UGAGUUAGGAGCUAGAUUAGCAGCACAUGAGAACUCUUUUGAUAUCGGGGAUCAGCUCGGAGUACUAGAACGCCGCACUGCCGUCCAAAACGGGGCAAUAUGUUGAGUCCAGUCUGCUGUCUUAACGUCCUGCAAGUAGCACGUCUCAGGUUAACAAUUCAGAUUGGGAUUGCCCAUAAUUACCUCGACAGGAAGGGACUGGAGUAAUUUGACAUAAUCAGCUCUAGAACACAAAGGGAGGUGAUAAUCUUUAUGAAACUUGUCCAGAAUCUCUUUCUCCCACGACUGCAGGGAAUCUUCGUCGGCCUUGAGAUCUCUAUGGCACAUUGCGUUAAAGAUAGUUGAGCCCCCUGGGGCUGCAACUCUUAAUAAUUCAUCGAGAAACUGUGAUUUCGCAUUAAGGAAAAAUCUUAACCGGGAUAAAACGGAAACAAAGGCUGCUGUAUUAAGAAAGACCAGAAAAAUGAAAGAGCCGAGACAAGUAAAUUGAACUUGCUGCAACUAUAUAAAGAGGAAGAGAUCUUCUUUUUGUCA